AUUGAACGCUGGCGGCAUGCCUUACACAUGCAAGUCGAACGGUAACAGGUCUUCGGAUGCUGACGAGUGGCGAACGGGUGAGUAAUACAUCGGAACGUGCCUAGUAGUGGGGGGUAACUACUCGAAAGAGUGGCUAAUACCGCAUGAGAUCUACGGAUGAAAGCAGGGGAUCGCAAGACCUUGUGCUACUAGAGCGGCCGAUGGCAGAUUAGGUAGUUGGUGGGAUAAAAGCUUACCAAGCCGACGAUCUGUAGCUGGUCUGAGAGGACGAUCAGCCACACUGGGACUGAGAAACGGCACAGACUCCUACGGGAGGCAGCAGUGGGGAAUUGUGGACAAUGGGCGCAAGCCUGAUCCAGCAAUGCCGCGUGCAGGAUGAAGGCCUUCGGGUUGUAAACUGCUUUUGUACGGAACGAAAAGCCCCGGGUUAAUACCCUGGGGUCAUGACGGUACCGUAAGAAUAAGCACCGGCUAACUACGUGCCAGCAGCCGCCGUAAGAC
rnacentral:rRNA from 1 species